CCUACGGGUGGCAGCAGUGAGGAAUAUUGGUCAAUGGCCGCGAGCCUGAACCAGCCAAGUCGCGUGAAGGAUGACGGCUCUACGGGUUGUAAACUUCUUUUAUAAAGGAAUAAAGUUAGGCACGUGUGGCUUUUUGCAUGUACUUUAUGAAUAAGCAUCGGCUAACUCCGUGCCAGCAGCCGCGGUAAUACGGAGGAUGCGAGCGUUCUCCGGAUUUAUUGGGUUUAAAGGGAGCGUAGGUGGGUUGUUAAGUCAGGGGUGAAAGUUUGUGGCUCAACCGUAAAAUUGCAAUUGAAACUGGAAGUCUUGAGUACAGUUGAGGUAGGCGGAAUUCGUGGUGUAGCGGUGAAAUGCAUAGAUAUCACGAAGAACUCCGAUUGCGAAGGCAGCUUACUAAGCUGCAACUGACAUUGAUGCACGAAAGUGUGGGUAUCAAACAGGAUUAGAUACCCGUGUAGUC
rnacentral:rRNA from 1 species